rnacentral:rRNA from 1 species
GACAGAGGGUGCAAACGUUGUUCGGAAUUACUGGGCGUAAAGCGUGUGUAGGCGGCUGCGUAAGUCGGAUGUGAAAGCCCCGGGCUCAACCCGGGAAGUGCACUCGAUACUGCGUAGCUUGAGUCUCGGAGAGGUUGGUGGAAUUGGUGGUGUAGAGGUGAAAUUCGUAGAUAUCACUAGGAACACCGGUGGCGAAGGCGGCCAACUGGACGAAGACUGACGCUGAGACACGAAAGCGUGGGGAGCAAACAGG